GGGUUAUACAGCCUUACGCUAAAAGAAGCUCAGUCUAUGACAUAAAGAGCAAAAACUAAUAAAAACCAGGUCUAAAUGCAAGAGUACCCUACUCUAAUUGGGCAAACCAAAAGAAACCAGUGCAGAUCUGGAUCUUUUUGUUGCAAUGCUGCAGCGGAGGAAAUGAAAACCAAAAGAAGCUCAGGGGCAAAGCUCUUCAACCCAAAGGACAAGAAACGGCACUGAGGCCUGAAGGAGUCCCAGGAAAGCCAUAAUCCAAUUAUAUUGCCCACAAAACAACAGAUCAAGACAAGGAAACUCCUGAGUAGCAGACCAUAUAACACAGAAAACACAUCGCAGGCUAAGCAUGUAGCUCACAGAGGAUGAUGAAGCAGAGCUCUAAACGGCAGCAUGUCUUGGAGAUCGGUCAUGAGGGCAAAGCCAGCUAAAGACCCUUGAGAUGCCAUCAUCCCUUAAAAUGAUUACCCCUCCCAGAGCUAGAAAAAAGCG
rnacentral:misc_RNA from 1 species